rnacentral:rRNA from 1 species
CUACGGGAUGCUGCAGUGAGGAAUAUUGCACAAUGGGGGGAACCCUGAUGCAGCAACGCCGCGUGGAGGAUGACGCAUUUCGGUGUGUAAACUCCUUUUAUAUGUCAAGAAAAUGACGGUAGCAUAUGAAUAAGCACCGGCUAACUCCGUGCCAGCAGCCGCGGUAAUACGGAGGGUGCAAGCGUUACUCGGAAUCAUUGGGCGUAAAGGAAGCGUAGGCGGGUUGGAAAGUCAGGUGUGAAAUCCUACAGCUUAACUGUAGAACUGCACUUGAAACUUCUAAUCUAGAGUAUGGGAGGGGGAGAUGGAAUUAGUGGUGUAGGGGUAAAAUCCGUAGAUAUCACUAGGAAUACCUAAAGCGAAGGCGAUCUCCUGGAACAUUACUGACGCUAAGGCGUGAAAGCGUGGGGAGCAAACAGGAUUAGAUACCCUAGUAGUC